rnacentral:rRNA from 1 species
AGAGGCAGCUAGCUCUCUGCAACUCUCACAUGGUCGCCCACUGAAGCUAAGCAGGGCUGCGCCCGGUCAGUACCUGGAUGGGAGACCACAUGGGAAAGCUAGGUUGCUGCCGGAA